rnacentral:tRNA from 1 species
GGGGAUUUAGCUCAGCGGUAGAGCACUUGCCUAGCAAGCACAAGGUCCUGGGUUCGGUCCCCAGCUCUG